rnacentral:lncRNA from 1 species
CUUUUGUUCUCAUCUUUCUACAGAUUUAAGGAAAAGACAAUUGUUCCAUUUUCAAACACAUGACAAAAGCAAAUCAAAACCAGGGACAUGGAGGAGCUUCUCUCUGUAGGUCACAGGAACACCUCUACAGGUGAGACUAUAGGGUCAUCAGCACGCAGGGGAGGCUCAUCCUCUGUUCAUCUCCUGUGCUACAAUGUAGGACAGGAAUC